rnacentral:rRNA from 1 species
UACAGAGGUCUCAAGCGUUGUUCGGAUUCACUGGGCGUAAAGGGUGCGUAGGCGGCGCCGUAAGUCAGGUGUGAAAUUUCGGAGCUUAACUCCGAAACUGCAUUUGAUACUGCGGUGCUUGAGGACUGGAGAGGAGACUGGAAUUUACGGUGUAGCAGUGAAAUGCGUAGAGAUCGUAAGGAAGACCAGUGGCGAAGGCGGGUCUCUGGACAGUUCCUGACGCUGAGGCACGAAGGUCAGGGGAGCAAACGGG